UUGAAGACUUUGUUGAGCAAGGCAAGCAAACUACUUUGAUCAUGUUGAACCCAUAUUUGCAUUACACCUAGAAUUAUUUUUCAUGCAUCAAGUAUUAUUUACUAGUAUUUCUAUGUUAAGUAAAUUAGCUAGGGUUUAUCUAUGCCCUAUGUGCUUGAUAUUGAUGUCGUUGCGAAAUCGAGCGAGAGAGGGAGAGUAUUUUGCGCUGGAUGAAGCUGACAGCUUUUCUGUUCUACAUUCUCAUCUCUGUCAACUGAAAAACUGAACGCUACUUUGCUACAUGCCCUGGCCAACCUGCUGCCGAUCCGAUUCCGCCGCGCCAUCCCACGACGUCCGGAUCUCCAGCUUGCCACACCGACCAGGGCCUAUCAGAAAAAAGAAACUGAGGGCGAGGUGGAUGAUAGUGCACGCAGGCACUCCUCCUCCUCCUACUUGCACGCUGCAUGAGUCCAUCACUACCACGGACAUGCAGGUGCUUAUUAACAGGAAAAAAAUAAUCUAUACUAGUUGGGUGGAGCUUAGGCUAACAAUUGACACCCCUUUCUCAUUCUUAUGCUAAGUAAAUUAGCUAGGGUUUAGCUAUGCUUUAUGUGCUUGAUAUUGACACCCUCCUUUGACAUUCUUAAUACCCCUCCUUUCUAACCAUGUAGUGGUGACAGAUAAAUUUGGGCCAUAUGUGCAAGUUUAAUAGUAACGCUUAGCCAUGCUAGUUGCAUAAAUCAUAGGACUUGGGAAGAAUCUUUGUUACUCUUAUAAGUUUUACAGAAACCCAAGGGUGUCACUAAUGCCCAUGGGAUGAUUCUGAAAAUAAGGUUUUACAAAAUGGAGUGUAGUGGAGAUAUUCAAAGAUGUUCCGUGGGUUAUAAAAUUUAUGUCUAGUAAAUGAGCAUGGUGGAUUUUGAUGCAUUUAUUUAGUUCAUUGUGAUCUUGAGGAGAUAGUCAAAGAUGUUUAGUGGAUCAAUUAGUCUUGGUUAGUUUAGAUUUAGUUAGGUGAUUGUGAUAUUGAACCGUAUUUCGUGAUGGAUUAUGAGAAUUUUUUUUCGAAAAAAUGCAAGAGAUUUUGCGUUUCGUUGCAUUGAACAGAUAGAGUUUGAUUACAACCCUCCUAGGAGAGCAAGUUCAAGAAGGGACAUGAAUACGAAUUUAAUGUACAUCCCAGGUGGUAGGCAAGAUGACUUUAAGCCCACGAGCACCAGCGCGUGCCCAUUGUUCGGCUUUGUCCUUGAUCUUAGAGACCAGUACAUGGACGAGGGGAUUUAGUUACGUGAUUUAAUCUUGAGAAGAUAGUCUAAAAUGUUAGGUGGAUUACGAGAUUUUAGAUAUGAUAUAUGACCAUGGUGAUUAUUAUAUUGAUGGAUAAAUAGAUCUUUAAUUUUGUUUGGAACAUUUUGGAUUUAGUUAGGUGAUUGUGAUCUUACAUCAAAUUUCAUGAUGGAUUACAUCAAAUUUCAUGAUGGAUUAUAAGAUUUUGGUUGAAUUUAGUUAGGUGAUUGUGAUCUUGAUGAGCUAGUAAAAGAUAUUUGGUGGAUUAUGUGAAUUUUGGUCUAGCAUGUGAACUUGGUAGUUAUUAUAUUGGUUAAUAAGUAUUUUUUUAGUAAUUUGAGAAAAAAUGAAUUUAGUUAGGCGAUUAUGGUCUUGAACCAAAUUUCAUGAUGGAUUACGAGAUUUUAGAUGAGUUUAGUUAGUUGAUUGUGAUCUUGAGAAGAUACUCAAAGAUAUUCGAUGAAUUAACUAAUCUUGCACAAUUAGUAUUCAGUUAGGUUAUUGAGAUAUUGAAACGAAUUUCACGUUGAUUUAUGAUCUUGAGAAGAUGCUAAAAGAUGUUUGGUGAAUUUUAAGAUUUUAGGUCUAGUACAUAAGCAUGGUGACUAUUAUAUUGGUUGAUAAACCGACCUUUCAUUUAGUUUGAAACAAUUUAAAUUUAGUUAGGUGAUUGUGAUCUUUUAACCAAACUCACAGUAGAUUUUGAUGUUUGGGUUGGAUUUAAUUAGGUGAUUGUGAUCUUGAGGAGAUAGUCAAACAUGUUCGAUGGAUUAUAUGAGAAUUUAUGUCUAGUAGGUGAGCAUGGUCGUUAUUAUAUUGAUCGAUAAAUGGAUUUUUAGUAAACUUGGCGUAAUUUGGUUUUAGUUAGGCGAUUAUAUUGAUGGAUAAACAGAUCUUUAAUUUAAUGAUUAUUAUAUUGAUGGAUAAACAAAUAUUUAAUUUAGUUUGAAAGAAUCUAGAUCUAGUUAGGUGGUUGUGAUCUUGACGAACUAGUAAAAUAUGUUUGGUGACUUACGUGGAUUUAGGUUUAGUAGGUGAGCAUGUUGGUUAUUAUAUUGAUAAAUAAAUGUUCUUCUAAUAAAUUUGGAAAAAAAUGGAUUUAGUUAGGGGUUGUGAUCUUGAACAAAAUUUUAUGGUGGUUUAUGAGAUUUUUGAUGGUUUUAGUUAUUUGAUUGUGAUCUUGAGAAAAUAGUCAAUGAUGUUUGGUGGAUUAAUUAAUCUGCACCAAUUUGGAUUUAAUAGGGUGGUUGUGACACUUAACCAAAUUUCACGAGGGAUCAUGAGAUUAGGUGGAUUUAGUUAGGUGAUUAUGUCUCGAGAAUAUAGCCAGUGAUGGUUGUUGGACUAUGAGAUUUUAGGUUUAGGAGAUGAAAAUGGUGAUUAUUACAUUGGUGCAUAAAUAGAUAUUAAAUUUAGUUUGAAACAAUUUGGAUUUACUUAGGUGACUGUGAUCUUUAACCAAAUUUCUCUUUAAUUUAUGAGAUUUUAGUUGCAUUUAGUUAGGUGAUCGUGUCUAUGAAGAUAAUUGAAUAUGUUUGGUGGAUUAUGAGAUUUUAGAUCUAAUAAAUGAGCAUGAUGAUUAUUAUAUUAAUGGAUAAAAGGAUAUUUGAUUUGGUUUAGAACAAUUUGGAUUUAGUUCGGUGAUUGUGAUAUUUUAACCUAAUUUUACACUGGAUUAUAAGGUUUUGGUUGGAUUUAGUUAGGUGAUUAUGAUUUUGACGAGCUAGUAAAAGAUGGCCGGUGGAUUAUGUGAAUCUAGGUUUAGAAGAUGAGCAUGUUGAUUAUUAUAUUGGUGGAUAGAGAUGAGAGCCACACAAGUGACUCAAGGUGAUGAUGCCACUACUGAAAAUAGCUGAUAAACAAGGCAAGAGAGCUGGAGAGACUGGGGAUAAUGGCAGCAGAUGGACUUUAUCCAGCAUCCCACGUUCCCGUGCAUUCUUUGUUCCCCGUUGAUCUGGCUUGAUGUCCUUGUCCUGUUUGCGGUUUUGUGUCACGCACUUGAUUAAGCAUCCCACGUUCUCCUACUGUGCGCCCUUGGCCUUGACGAUAGGUAUCGCGUGUUCUCGGGCGCGUCCCGUGUAUAAAAUCCAGGUAUGCGCCAAUUGUCCUAGCUCUUGCUCGCCAUUGGUGGUGCUUGAGCGUGCGGUUACGGUGUCGACCAGCAAGGGAACAUGGGAUGUGGGAUCAAGACAGCACACAUAGCAACCCGUCAUCAAGCAACAGACACACAUCCAGAUUUACAAGGAGCGGAGGUGGACACAAAAGUGGAUGUUGAGUUCCAUAGGAGUCUCAAUAGUGUGCUCAUCAAAGCAGCAUGAGUAAGAAGAUCCUAGAUAUACUUCUCUUAGGAAAUAAAGAAGCCAUUAGAGAUAGAAAAAAGCUCAAUCUCCAAGAAAGUAGCGACUUCUUUAGUAAACAUGGAACAAUUUGGAUUUAGUUAGGCGAUUGUGAUCUUGAACAAAUUGCAUGAUGGAUCACGAGAUUUUUCAAUGGAUUUAGAUGAAUGUGAUCUUGAGGAGAUAGUCAAAAAUGUUUUUGGAUUAAUUGAUCUUGAACAAUAUGGAUUUAGUUAGGUGAUUAUGAUAUUGAAUUAUUUUUUUGUGAUUUAUAAGAUUUUAGUUGGAUUUAGUUAGGUGAUUGUGUCUUGUGAUGAUAAUCAGAGAUGUUUGGUGGAUUAUGAGAUUUUAGGUCUAGUAGAUGAGCAUGAUGAUUUAUAUUGGUGGAUAAACAGAUAUUUAAUUUAGUUUGAAACAAUUUGGAUUUAGUUAGGUGAUUGUGAUCUUUUAACCUAAUUUUACGGUGGGUGUUUUGGUUGGUUUUAGUUAGGUGUUUUUGAUUUCGAUGAGUUAGUAAAAUAUGUUCGGUGGAUUAUGUGAAUUUAGGUCUAAUAGGUGAGCAUGUUGAUUAUAUUGGUAAAUAAAUGAAUCUUUAAUAAAUUUGAAACAAUUUGGAUUUAAUUACACGAUUGUGACCUUGAACCAAAUUUUAUUGUGGAUUAUGAGAUUUUUGAUGGAUUAGUUAGUUGAUGGCCAUUUUGAGGAGAUACUCUAAAUAUGUUUGGUGGAUUAAUUAAUCUUGGACAAUUUGAAUUUACUUAGGUGGUCGUGAUAGUAAACCGAAUUUCAUGCUGGAUUAUGAGAUUUUACAUGGAUUUAGUUAGAUGAUUGUGUCUUGAGAAUAUAGUCAAAGAUGUUUGCUUGACUAUGGGAAGAUGAGAAUGGUGAUUUUAUAUUGGUGGAUAAACAUAUCUUUAAUUUAGUUUGGAACAAUUUUGAUUUAGUUAGGUGAUUGUUUUUUUUCAACCAAAUUCAUGAUGGGAUUUUGAGGUUUUGUUGGUUUCAGUUAGAUGACUGUGAUCCUAAAGAGAUAGUCCGAGAUGAUUGAUGAAAUAUGCUAAUUUAGGUCUAGUAAGGGACCACAGUGGUUAUUAUAUUGGUGGAUAAAUGGAUCUUUAGUAACAUGGAGCAAUCUGGAUGUAGUUAGGCAAUUGUGAUCUUGAACAAAUUUCGCGGUGGAUUACGAGAUUUUCAAUGGAUUUAGUUAGUAGAUUGUGAUCUUGGGGAGAUGUCAAAGUUGUUCGGUGGAUUAACUAAUUUUGAACAAUUUGGAUUUAGUUAGGUGAUUGUGAUCUUUUAACCUAAUUUUACGGUGGGUGUUUUGGUUGGUUUUAGUUAGGUGUUUAGUGGUCGCAAAUAAAUAUGGUUCAUAUGUCCAAGUUUAAUAGUAAUGCUUAGCCAUGCUAGUUGUGUAAAUCAUAGGACUUGGGAAGAAUCUUUGUUACUCAUAGAUGUUUUAUAAAAACUCAAGGGUGUCACUAAUGCCCAUGGGAUGAUUCUGAAAAUAAGGUUUUACAAAAUGGAGAUGAAGUGGAGAUUUAGUUAGGUGAUUGUGAUCUUGACGAGAUAGUCAAAGAUGUUCGGUGGAUUAUGAAAAUUUAUGUCUAGUAAAUGAGCAUGGUGGUUACUAUAUUGAUGGAUAAAUGGAUCUUUAAUAAACUUGAAGCAGUUUGGAUUUAGUUAGGCAAUUGUGAUCUUGGACCAAAUUUCAUGGCGGAUUACGAGAUUUUGAUGCAUUUAUUUAGCUCAUUGUGAUCUUGAGGAGAUGGUAAAAAAUGUUUAGUGGAUUAAUUCUUGGAAAAUUUGUAUUUAGUUAGGUGAUUGUGAUAUUGAACUGUAUUUCAUGAUGAAUUAUGAGAUUUUAGGUGGAUUUAGUUACGUGAUUUAAUCUUGAGAAGAUAGUCUAAAAUGUUCGGUGGAUUAUGAGAUUUUAGGUAUGAUAGAUGAGCAUGGUGAUUAUUAUAUUAGUGGAUAAACAUAUCUUUAAUUUUGUUUGAAACAUUUUGGAUUUAGUUAGGUGAUUGCAAUCUUAAAUCAAAUUUCAUGAUGGAUUAUAAGGUUUUGGUUGGAUUUAGUUAGGUGCUUGUGAUCUUGACGAGUUAGUAUAAGAUGUUUGGUGGAUUAUGUGAAUUUAGUUCUACUGGUGAGCUUGGUGGUUAUUAUAUUGGUGAAUAAGCAAUUUUUUUAAUAAACUUAAGAAAAUUUAGAUUUAGUUAGGCGAUUGUGAUCUUGAACCAAAUUUCAUGAUGGAUUAUGAGAUUUUAGAUGAAUAUAAUCAGUUGAUUUUCAUCUUGAGUAGAUACUCAAAGAUAUUCGAUGGAUUAAUUAAUCUUGAACAAUUUGAAUUUAGUUAGUCUUUUGCGAUAUUGAAUCGAAUUUCAUGAUGGUUUAUGUGGAUUUAGAUAACUUAUUAUGAUCUUGAGAAGAUGGUCAAAGAUGUUCGAUGGAUUUUAAGAUUUUAGGCCUAGUACAUGAGCAUGGUGACUAUUAUAUUGGUGGAUAAACCGACCUUUCAUUUAGUUUGAAACAAUUUGAUUUUAGUUAGGUGAUUGUGAACUUUUAACGAAAUUCACAGUGGAUUUUGAUGUUUGGGUUGGAUUUAUUUAGGUGACUAUGAUCUUGGUGAGGUAGUCAAAGAUGUUCGCUAGAUUAUGUGAGAAUUUAUGUCUAGUAAGUGAGCAUGGUCGUUAUUAUAUUGAUGGACAAAUGAUUUUUUAGUAAAUUUGGCGUAAUUUGGUGGAUUAUGUGAGAAUUUAUAUCUAGUAAGUGAGCAUGGUCGUUAUUAUAUUGAUGGAAAAAUGGAUUUUUAGUAAACUUGGCGUAAUUUGGAUUUAGUUUUUUUUUUCGAGAAAACGCAGAGAGUGCGUUUCUUUGUAUUGAAAAGAUAGAAAGUCAGUCUCAGAGGAGACGGUUACAACGGAUUACACGCAAUUCAGUGGACAUCCCAGGAUGGGGGCAAAACUACCCUAAGCCCCUUGUCCCCAGCUCUAGCCCAACAUCUCAUCUCAUCUUUGAUCCCAUCCGCGAGCUCGGGGAGCGACGGAGUGGCAUGAUCAAAUACACACGCAUUCCUAUGUUUCCAGAUCAUCCAUGGGACUAGCAGUGUGGUGGACCUCAGCGCCUUGCGGAGUGAUGGUGGUGUUGCAUCUCUCGCCCUGAUCCACCAGUCCUGAAUGGAGAUAUCCUGCUCCGGUGCGGGGGCUGGUAGGCGCAGCCAGGAAAGAGCCUCAUGCCAGGCUUGCCGCGAGAAGGGGCAUGCCAGCAGCAGGUGGUGAAUGGUCUCUGGCUCCUGAUCGCAAAGCAGGCAUCGAGUGUGGUGAGGUAGGCCGCGGCGGGCGAGUCUGUCCGCGGUCCAGCAUCGGUCUAGGCUCACUAGCCAGUGGAAAAACUUGACCUUCGGCGGAGUCCAUCCCUUCCAGAUUAGCUUCCAGGAGUGGCAAGUGAGGGGUCCGUGGAAGGUGGCCUGAUAGCAUGAUUGCGCCGAGUAGUCUCCAUUAGCAGUCCAUUUCCAGACGAGCCUGUCUGGCUCGGCGGACAAGGCAGUGUGCGUGACGCGCUGCCAUGUCGUCAAGUAUUGGCCAAUCUCUUGCAGCCCCACUACACCGCGGAUGUCUCGAGCCCACGCGUUGCCGGCGAGGCCAUCUGCCAGCGUCCGCACCCUCUUCCUGUUCUUGGGAAUGCAUCGGUACAGCAUGGGUGCUAGCUCGCGGAUCGACUGCCCAUGCAGCCAUCUGUCUUCCCAGAACAGCGCUGUGUGGCCAUCGCCUAGCACCAUGAAGGUGGAGGCAUAGAAGAGGUUGAGCUCCUCACUGGAGAACUGCAGGUCCAUACCUUUCCAGGCCCUGUCGGCGUCCGUCUUAGAUAGGCAGAGCCACCGCAGCCUAAGUGCUAGCCCAGUCCGCUCCAAAUCUCGGAUGCCCAGCCCUCCCAGAGCGAGAGGCCGGCUGACCGUGUGCCAGUUAACAUGACAGUGCCCUCCCUGAGCAGCCGCACGGCCAGCCCAGAGGAAGCCGCGCUGUAUCUUCUCUAGUUGUUUCAGGGUCUUCUUCGGUGGUGUCAGGGUGAGCAUCUGGUGGAUUGGGAUCGCGCUGAGGACCGAUCUGACCAAUGCCAACCUCCCAGCUUUGUUCAUGAGCCAUGCUUUCCAUGUCGGGAGGCGGCCAGCCACAGCAUCGACUAGCGGCUGCAUCUGAGCUGGUGUGGGUCGUCGGGUGGUGAGCGGUAUGCCCAGGUAGGUGAUGGGCAGUGUCGCCGCCUGGCAGCCCAAUGCCUCUAUCAGGGCAUCGCUCUCCUCGUCGCCGUGUAUGGUCGUGGCCGAGCUCUUGCCAUAGUUAACCCGCAAGCCCGACGCGGCCUCGAAGAUACCUAGGAUGCCCUUCACCGCGAGCACCUCAUCCAUCUCAGCAUGGCAAAACAGCAUCACGUCAUCGGCGUAGAGCGAAACGGCCGGAACAGUACGUCGGGGGUGCAGCUGCCGGAGUAUGCCGGCCUGGAGAGCCCGAUGCAUGAGGCGGCCCAGCGCGUCGACAGCGAGGACGAAUAGCUGCGGUGAUGUGGAGUCCCCUUGACGCAGCCCGCGACAGUGCCAAAUCGGGGGGCCAGGCACGCCAUUGAGCAUGACCCGCGUGCUGGCCGAGGAGAGUAGUAUGGCUAUCCACUCCCUGAACCUGUCCCCAAACCCAUAUUGGCGCAACAUCUCGAAGAGGAACGGCCAAGAUAUGGAGUCGAAAGCCCGAGUGAGAUCGAGCUUGAGCAUGAUGCACGGGGCGCCCAAGUGGUGAAGCAUCCGGAGAGACUGCCUGACUAGCAUGAAGUUGUCGUGGAGGGAGCGGCCGGCAAUGAAUGCGUUCUGGUUGCGGCUGACUAGGCUGUCCAGCUUGGGGGCGAUGCGCAAUGAUAGAACUUUGGCUAAUAGCUUGGCCAUGAUGUGGAUCAGGCAAAUAGGCCGGUAGUCGCCCAGUUUUUGCGCAUCCGCGCGCUUAGGCAGCAGGGUCAGGAGGGCUUGGUUGAGCUUAGCAAACCCUCUCCCAUGNNNNNNNNNNNNNNNNNNNNNNNNNNNNNNNNNNNNNNNNNNNNNNNNNNNNNNNAUAGCUGGUCAAAAACAUCCAGGAUAUUCUGCCUAAUAACGCCCCAACAGGCCUGUAAGAACUCAGUGGAGAACCCGUCUGGCCCUGGUGCCUUAUGCGCCGGCAUGUGCUGCACCGCAGCCCAGAUCUCCUCCGGGGUGAAGGGUGCAUCCAGGCUGCCAAGGUCAUCAGCCGUGACGAGCUGCUCGAGGUCCAGAGUGUGCUCACGGUCCACAGCAGUGCCCAGCAGCCCGUCAAAGUGCCUGAAUGUCGCGUGGGCCAUCUCGUCAUGCUCACAUAGCACAUGUCCGUCAACUAGGAGGCUGUGCACGCGGUUUUUCUGACGCCUGAACGUACACUGCUUGUGGAAGAAGCUCGUGUUGGCGUCGUCCUCGGCCAGGAAGGAAAUGCGGGCACGCUGCCGCGCGAUGGUGCGCUCCAGAGAAGCCAGCCCAAGGUACGCCACCUUGAGCUGCUUGCGCAGCCAGUCCUCUGCCGGGGCGAGCAGGCGACUCUCCAUCGCGUGGUCGAAGCGGGCGAUCAGCUCUCGGCAUAUGGCCAGUUUGUCCCGGACAUUGCCCGUGGACCUAGCACUCCAACUCGUCAGGGCGCGGGCGGUGGCCUGCAGUCGUCGGACCAGCCGCUGGAAGGGGUCGGGGUCAUCCACCGAGCUCCAGGCUGUGGCGACCGUGUCCUGAAAUCCAUCGCGGCUGGGCCAGAAGGCCUCGAAACGGAAGCGUCUGCGGGCCGUGGGCAUGGGGGAGCAGUCCAACAGCAGGGGGCAAUGAUCCGACACGACAGAUGCAAGGCAUCUGAGGUGGCACUCUCCGUGGUAAUCCUCCCAGUCUGAGGUGCAGAGAACUCGAUCGAGGUGCACAAGCGUCGGCGGGGUCUGCUCAUUAGACCAAGUGAAGCGGCGCCCAUUCAGGUAUACCUCCUUCAGGGCAAGAUCGUUAAUGGCGCGACGGAACCUUCCCAUCAUGCGGCGGUUCAGGGUACCGGCGCUCUUGUCGGCGUCCUGGUAGAUGAGGUUGAAAUCGCUGCAUAGCAUCCAAGGGCCCGGGCAAGCAGCCCGGAUGUCCCGCAGCUCUUGCAGGAAUAGUAUCUUGUCUGGGUCGCUUUGAGGGCCACACACCGUGGUAAGCCACCACGGUGCACCACUAGGUGCGCACACUUUAACCGUGAUCGCGUUUUGGGUGAAUAGGGGAUCGGAGAUGGUGACAGCCCUACUCUUCCAUGCGAUGAGAAUGCCGCCGCGGGUGCCGUCGGCAGGGAGAUAAGUAGAGCCAUCGAACUCAGACCCGAGGGUGUCUAGCACAAUCAACGAGCAGACCAGCGUCAUUUUAGUUUCCUGGAGGCAUACAAUGGACGCACUGGUGGUACAUAUCAGAGAGCGUAUGGCGCAGCGCCUAGCGCGCGAGUUCAAGCCCCUGACAUUCCAAACCACUAUCUGGGGUCCUGGAUACAUGAGCACGAGGUCGACAACAGGCACCACCAGCCUAGCGCGCGCAAGCCAUGGCAUCACCAGCCGGCAUAGACAGGCCUGCAGGGAUCGCACGGUCUACGAGGGUGGCUAUGGCAUGCAGCGCUGGAAGCUUGAUCGGCGCGGCGAACAUGUCGUCGUAUGCUUUCAUCUCGACGGGGGUGAUCUGCUGAUGCGCGCCGACGAUCCCUAGAGUGCGAAGAAUCUGCACCACCGCCCUCCUGUCCGUAGUGCAGGCCGCGGGUGCCGGAGCAAUGACGGCGGCGGAACGCCCCCUCCUGGGGCUGAAGUUGAGAGGGGGCCGCUGGCGUUUCCCGGGAGAUGGCAGCAUCGCAUCAAGCUGCUUAGUGGCUGAUUUAGUUAGGCGAUUGUGUCUUGAGAAAGUCAAAAUGUUGGUGGAUUAUGAGAUUUUAGGUAUGAAAAUGAGCAUGGUGAUUAUUAUAUUGGUAGAUAAUCAAAUAUUUAAUUUAGUUCGGAUCAAUUUAGAUUUAGUUAGGUGUUGUGAUCUUUAACCUAAAUAUAGGAUGGAUUAUGAGAUUUUAGCUGGAUUUACUUAGGUGAUUGUGAUCUUGAUAAGAUAUUCAAAGAUGUUCGAUGAAUUAAUAUCUCUAGUAAGCUAGCAUGAAGAAUAUUAUAUUGGUGGAUAAGUGGAUCUCUAAUAAACUUGAUGCAAUUUGUAUUUAGUUAUGAUUGUGAUCUUGAACCAAAUUUCAUGGUGGAUUACGAUGUUAUGGAUGGAUUUGAUUAGUUGAUUGCGGUCUUGACGAUUCGGUGGAUUAAUUAAUCUUGAAUAAUUUGGAUUUAGUUUGGUGAUUGUGAUAUUGAACCAAAUUUUUCAAUGCUUUAUGAGAUUUUAGGUGGAUUUAGUUAGGUGAUUUAAUCUUGAGAAGAUAGUAAAACAUGCUUGGUGGAUUAUGAGAUUUCUAGGUAUGGUAAAUGGGCAUGGUGAUUAUUAUAUUGAUGGAUAAACAGAUCUUUAAUUUAGUUUGAAAGAAUUUAGAUGUAGUUAGGUGGUUGUGAUCUUGACGAGCUAGUAAAAGAUGUUUGGUGACUUACGUGGAUUUAGGUUUAGUAGGUGAGCAUGUUGGUUAUUAUAUUGAUAAAUAAAUGUUCUUCUAAUAAAGUUGGAAAAAAUUGGAUUUAGUUAGGCGGUUGUGAUCUUGAACAAAAUUUUAUGGUGGUUUAUGAGAUUUUUGAUGGUUUUAGUUAUUUGUUUGUGAUCUUGAGAAAAUAGUCAACGAUGGUUGGUGGAUUAAUUAAUCUGCACCAGUUUGGAUUUAAUAAGGUGGUUGUGACACUGAACCAAAUUUCACGAGGGAUCAUGAGAUUAGGUGGAUUUAGUUAGGUGAUUAUGUCUUGAGAAUAUAGCCAGUGAUGGUUGUUGGACUAUGAGAUUUUAGGUUUAGGAGAUGAAAAUGGUGAUUAUUACAUUGGUGCAUAAAUAGAUAUUUAAUUUAGUUUGAAACAAUUUGGAUUUACUUAGGUGACUGUGAUCUUGAACCAAAUUUCUCUUUGAUUUAUGAGAUUUUAGUUGCAUUUAGUUAGGUGAUUGUGUCUAUGAAGAUAAUCGAAUAUGUUGGUGGAUUAUGAGAUUUUAGGUCUAAUAAAUGAGCAUGAUGAUUAUUAUAUUGAUGGAUAAAAAUAUAUUUGAUUUGGUUUAGAACAGUUUGGAUUUAGUUCGGUGAUUGUGAUCUUUUAACCUAAUUUUACAGUGGAUUAUAAGGUUUUGGUUGGAUUUAGUUAGGUGAUUAUGAUUUUGACGAGCUAGUAAAAGAUGGCCGGUGGAUUAUGUGAAUCUAGGUUUAGUAGAUGAGCAUGUUGAUUAUUAUAUUGGUGGAUAGAGAUGAGAGCCACACAAGUGACUCAAGGCGAUGAUGCCACUACUGAAAAUAGCUGAUAAACAAGGCAAGAGAGGUGGAGAGACUGGGGAUAAUGGCAGCAGAUGGACUUUAUCCAACAUCCCACGUUCCCGUGCAUUCUUUGUUCCCCGUUGAUCCGGCUUGAUGUCCUUGUCCUGUUUGCGGUUUUGUGUCACGCACUUGAUUAAGCAUCCCACGUUCUCCUACUGUGCGCCCUUGGCCUUGACGAUAGGUAUCGCGUGUUCUCGGGCGCGUCCCGUGUAUAAAAUCCAGGUAUGCGCCAAUUGUCCUAGCUCUUGCUCGCCAUUGGUGGUGCUUGAGCGUGCGGUUACAGUGUCGACCAGGAAGGGAACACUGGAUGUGGGAUCAAGACAGCACACAUAGCAACCCGCCACCAGGCAACGGAUACACAUCCGGAUUUACAAGGAGCUCCAUAGGAGUCUCAAUAGUGUGCUCAUCAAAGCGGCAUGAGUAAGAAGAUCCUAGAUAUACUUCUCUUACGAAAUAAAGAAGACAUUAGAGAUAGAAAAAACCUCAAUCUCCAAGAAAGUAGCGACUUCUUUAGUAAACAUGGAACAAUUUGGAUUUAGUUAGGCGAUUGUGAUCUUGAACAAAUUGCAUGAUGGAUUACGAGAUUUUUCAAUGGAUUUAGGUGAUUGUGAUCUUGAGGAGAUAGUCAAAAAUGUUUGGUGGACUAAUUGAUCUUCAACAAUAUGGAUUUAGUUAGGUGAUUGUGAUAUUGGAUUAUUUUUCUGUGAUUGAUGAGAUUUUAUUUGGAUUUAGUUAUGUGAUUGUGUCUUGAGAUGAUAAUCAGAGAUGUUUGGUGGAUUAUGAGAUUUUAGGACUAGUAGAUGGGCAUGAUGAUUAUUAUAUUGGUGGAUAAAUAGAUAUUUAAUUUAGUUUGAAAUAAUUUGGAUUUAGUUAGGUGAUUGUGAUCUUUUAACCUAAUUUUACGGUGGGUGUUUUGGUUGGUUUUAGUUAGGUGUUUCUGAUUUCGAUGAGUUAGUAAAAUACGUUUGGUGGAUUAUGUGAAUUUAGGUCUAAUAGGUGAGCAUGUUGAUUAUUAUAUUGGUAAAUAAAUGAAUCUUUAAUAAAUUUGAAACAAUUUGGAUUUAAUUAGGCGAUUGUGGCCUUGAACCAAAUUUUAUUGUGGAUUAUGAGAUAUUUGAUGGAUUAGUUAGUUGAUGGCGAUUUUGAGGAGAUAUUCUAAAGAUGUUUGGUGGAUUAAUUAAUCUUGGAAAAUUUGAAUUUACUUAGGUGGUCGUGAUAGUAAACCGAAUUUCACGCUGGAUUAUGAGAUUUUACAUGGAUUUAGUUAGAUGAUUAUGUCUUGAGAAUAUAGUCAAAGAUGUUUGCUUGACUAUGGGAUUUUAGAUAUAGAAGAUGAGAAUGGUGAUUUUAUAUUGGUGGAUAAACAGAUCUUUAAUUUAGUUUGGAACAAUUUUGAUUUAGUUAGGUGAUUGUUUUUUUACAACCAAAUUCAUGAUGGGAUUUUCAGGUUUUGUUGGAUCUAGUUAGAUGACUGUGAUCCUAAAGAGAUAGUCCGAGAUGAUUGAUGAAAUAUGCUAAUUUAGGUCUAGUAAGGGACCACGGUGGUUAUUAUAUUGAUGGAUAAAUGGAUAUUUAGUAAACAUGGAGCAAUCUGGAUGUAAUUAGGCAAUUGUGAUCUUGAACAAAUUUCGCGGUGGAUUACAAGAUUUUCAAUGGAUUUAGUUAGUAUAUUGUGAUCUUGGGGAGAUGUCAAAGUUGUUCGGUGGAUUAACUAAUUUUGAACAAUUUGGAUUUAGUUAGGUGAUCGCGACAUUGCGCCAAAUUUCUCGGUGAUUUAUGAGAUUUUAGUUGGAUCUAGUUAGGUGAUUGUGUCUUCAGAAGAUAGUCGAGGAAGUUUGGUGGAUUAUGAGAUUUUUGGUCUACAAGAUAAGCAUGAGGAUUAUUAUAUUGGUGGAUAAACAAAUAUUUAAUUUAAUUAGGAAAAAAUGGAUUUAGUUAGGAGAUUGUCAUAUUUUGACCUAAUUUUAUGAUGGAUUAUGAGGUUUUGCUUGGAUUUAGUUGAGUGAUUGGGAUCUUGACGAGCUUGUAAAAGAUAUUGACACCCUCCUUUGACUUUCUUAAUACCCCUCCUUCCUAACCAUGCAGUGGUCGCAAAUAAAUUUGGUUCAUAUGUCCAAGUUUAAUAGUAAUGCUUAGCCAUGCUAGUCGUGUAAAUCAUAGGACUUGGGAAUAAUCUUUGUUACUCAUAGAUGUUUUAUAAAAACUCAAGGGUGUCACUAAUGCCCAUGGGAUGAUUCUGAAAAUUAGGUUUUACAAAAUGAAGAUGAAGUGGAGAUUUAGUUAUGUGAUUGUGAUCUUGACGAGAUAGUCAAAGAUCUUCGGUGGAUUAUGAAAGUUUAUGUCUAGUAAAUGAGCAUGGUGGUUACUGUAUUGGUGGAUAAAUGGAUCUUUAAUAAACUUGAAGCAGUUUGGACUUAGUUAGGCAAUUGUGAUAUUGGACCAAAUUUCAUGGCGGAUUACGAGAUUUUGAUGCAUUUAUUUAGUUCAUUGUGAUCUUGAGGAGAUGGUAAAAAAUGUUUAGUGGAUUAAUUCUUGGAAAAUUUGUAUUUAGUUAGGGGAUUGUGAUAUUGAACUGUAUUUCAUGAUGAAUUAUGAGAUUUUAGGUGGAUUUAGUUACGUGAUUUAAUCUUGAGAAGAUAGUCUAUGUUGAACUAGUAUGGCCCAGCCCAUCCAGUUAUCUCUUAGGGCCCAGGCCCAUGUAGUGGGACUGACCUAAAAAGAGGCUCCCAGCCAUCCCGUUCCCAGUCUGAGCCGCCACACACAAACACACGAGCUGGAGGUACUUCUCUCUUCCUCCCGUUUCUACAUGGUAUCAGAGGCCAGGUCCGGCAAGGCCUGACGGACGGCGGCGCCGGCCGGCGUGGCUGCGGGGUCCGGUGGGGAUCGAUGGCGACACUGCGCGCUGGAGAGGAGGCGGCUGUGCGCAGGCUGUGCGUGCGCACGAGGAGGAGAAGCGGCUGCGCGGGCGACAGGGCGACGGCUGGUGCUGGUUCCUUCCUGCCCUGGCUCUCUUAUCUCUCUCUGUUCUGCUGUGUUUCUGGAGGUGGAAGGGAGAAGGAGAGAGGAGGAAGCGAAAGAAGGGCAGCUGCUGGAGUUUGCUGUUGUGGCUGCAUCUGGGGUUGCGGCUGCUGCUGUUUGCCCGAGAAGGAGGUUGCAGCUGCUAUUGCUGGUGGUGGUGGUGUGUACUAAGGGGAGACCGGGAGCUGGGUGCUGCUGCUAGAGGAGAAGGUGUUGGUGGUGGUCUGUUCCUGGAGCUGCUGUUGUGCUGUUAGUGGAGUUGUUGUUGUGUUGUUCCUGCUGCUGUGCAUCUGAGUUGCUGUUUUGCUGCUGCUGUGUUGGUUCUGCUGUGGAGAAGAAGUGAGGCUGUGGUGCUGCUGGAACACCAAAGAUGGCUGAACCAAAUGCUCUCGCUGCUGCUUUCGAGAAGCUCGCUAAGAUCCUCGCGGAGUCCAACUCCAACUCUGGGGCCAUCGUUCCUUGACAGGAAGUGGCUCAGAAGCUCGAAAUGUGACCCCUCGACAUGAAGCUAGAGGGAGCCACAAAUUAUUUGAGCUGGUCCAGAAGGGCAUUGCUGGCUGUGGAACAGAAGAAACUUGAUGGGCACUUAUUGGGUGCGGUUGAUGAACCUGGAGACAAGACUAACGCGGAGGGAAAGCGGUGGAAGGUCAUAAACUCUGUGCUUGUUGGCUGGUUGUUGAACUCAGUGGUGCCCUCCAUUGGUCGCUCUGUGGAGGGACUAUCCACGUCCGCCGAGAUAUGGAAGACUCUAUCCACCCAAUACUCAGACAAGGGUAAUUUCAUGCUAAUUGCUCAGAUUGAGGGUAAGAUCAGUCGGCUGCGCCAAGGCGAUGACAUGUCAGUGAUGGCAUAUGUAGCAGAGCUGCAGGCUUUGUGGGCGGAGCAGGAUAACUGUGAUCCUUUGGAACUCUAUGAUGCGGCGUGCAUCGAGUCAGGGCGCAAGUGGAUUGCACGCAGGCAUGUGUUGAAACUGUUGGAAGGCCUCAGAGGUUGCUUUCAUGGCAGGGGAGCUUCCCUGUUGCACCAACCUCUCCUGCUAACUAUUGAGGAGACUAUUGCAGCAAUGUCUCAAGAGGAGGUGAGGCUAUCUCUUGAGCAUGCAAACGUGAAGUUUGUGCCGGCUUCGACAUUUGCAGUCACUGAGCGCAUGGAGUGGGGUGAUCCCAACAAAUGUCAUAUUUGUGGGGAGGUAGGUCAUUGGAAGAGGGAAUGUCCAACUCGUGGUAGAGGCAGGGGAUACAACAUAGGGGGCACUGGCAGAGGCGGGUAUGCUCGAGGCAGGGGUGGAUACCCAUGGAACUCAGGGGGUCAACUUUCUAGGGGCAGAGGUGGCUACUCAGGAAACUCAGGGGGCAGGGCGCAUAUGGUAGUUGAAGAGGACACUCGGACGUCAUAGGGCAAGGGAGUUGAUGAGGCUGCCUAUGGAGACUUUGCUCACUGGGCCUCCACUGAUGAAGGUAAUUCGAUGAAGGCAUUUCUUACUCCUAAUGAGAGUGCUUCAGAGUGGGUCUUAGACUCUGGAGCAUCUAAGCAUGUUGCGGGUAAUUCCUGUGUGUUUGAGUCUUACCAUAAGCAUGCUCCUAUUCACAAGGACACUAUACAAACUGCCGAUGGUACCAAUCAGCCUGUCGUAGGGGUUGGCAAGUCAAAUGCACUUCAGCCAUCUCCUUAUCGUCAGUUUUGCAUGUGCCAGCUUUUCCUGUCAAUUUGGUCUCUUUCAGUGCUCUCAUUGAUCAAAUAGACUGUUGUGUGAUCCUUGACAAGUUCGGUUGCUUGAUUCAGGAGCGACAGACGAGCCAGACGGUUGGGACUGGCACCAGGCGUAGGGGGCUCUGGUACAUGGACCAGGAGGUGCAACCGGACUUGGUGUGUGCUGCGACCAUGGAGGACAAGGAGAAGCAGGCGAUGAUCCAUCAUUGUAGAAUGGGUCAUAUAUCUUUUUAUAAGACGAGCAGAGUCUUUCCGGAUGUUAUGUGUGGAAUAGGCAAGGGCAAGUUGACAUGUGAUGCUUGCGAAUAUGCAAAACACACACGAGCCUCAUAUGUGAGUAAGGGGCUUAGGAGCAUAUCUCCUUUUAUGCUCAUUCAUUCGGAUGUAUGGACUAGCCCGGUAGUGUCAAUGAAUGGAAAGAAGUAUUUUGUUACCUUUAUUGACUGCUAUUCUCGUAUGACUUGGAUUUACUUGAUGCGUCACAAGGAUGAGGUGUUUAGCUGUUUUCAGAACCAGUUUCAGGUGCAGGUCAACGUGCUCAGGACUGACAAUGGUACAGUGUAUGUGAACAAUAUUUUUGGGGAUUUCAUGGCUAACCAAGGGAUACUUCAUUAAACUUCAUGUCCGGACACCCCACUCAGAAUGGAGUGGCCGAAAGGAAGAAUCGUCAUAUUCUUGAGGUUGCUCGGUCAAUAUGUUUACCAUGAAUGUGCCUAAGUUCUUAUGGGAUGAAGCAGUUAUGACAGCCACCUGAUCAACCGGACACCUUCCAGGAUGUUUGGUAUGAAAUCUCCAUCUGAGUUGCUCAUUGGAGAUAAUAAGUUUGUUGUUUCCCCAAAGUUGUUUGGCACUACUUGCUUUGUUCGUGAUCACCGACCAUCUGUUGGAAAGCUUGAUCCUCGGGCAGUGAAGUGUGUCUUCCUGGGAUACUCUUCUAGUCAGCAGGGGUAUAAAUGUUGGUCUCCCUCUGAAAAACGCAGGUUUGUGAGUAUGGAUGUUACCUUCAGGAAGUCUGAGUCAUUCUAUGGUACGCCGACUGAUAUCAGUCAGCUAUUUGCAGAGCUUGACCACCUACAUCAUGUGCAAGAUGGUCAAGAGGGGGAGAAGGAUGUGUCUCAUACUCAGGGUGAUUUUGUGGGCAAUAACACUGCUAAUGAUGUGCAAGUUCAGGUCCAACCAAUAGUGGGGACAAUUCCGGUUAGUACUCUCACUAAUGAUGAUGUGCAGGUUCAUGUCGAGCCAACCGUCGAUACACUUAAGAUUGGUGCUCUUCGGGUUCCUGUUCGGGAUCGAUGGCAGACGAACACCCUAGUGUACUCUCGACGGCAACCACACGUGCAAGGGGAGCAACAAGGCAAUGAGAUAAGAGUGCAAGGGGAGCAGCAAGGCAAUGAGGCAAGAGUGCAGGGGGAGCAACAAGACAGUGAGACGAGCUCAUCUGACACAGUGGAGCUGCCCAUUGCAUUGCGAAAGGCUACACGUGAAGCGGCAAGAAAGGGUGAAGUAGCAAGGAAGGCUCUACCGAAGGAUGAUGCUUGUGAUGACCUUGAUAUUGGCAAUUUUGUGUCUUAUAAGGCUUUGUCACCCACAUAUAAGGCGUUUGUUGCCACCCUUCAAACUGUGUCAAUUCCAAAGGAUUGGAAGGCUGCAAAGCAAGAUCCGAGGUGGCGUGAAGCGAUGAUAGAAGAGUUGGAAGCACUAAGGAAAAACAAGACAUGGGUGACCACAUUGCCGGCAGAAAAGGAAGCAGUGAGUUGUAAGUGGAUCUAUACAGUGAAGCAGAAUCCUGAAGGGAAGGUGGAACGGUAUAAGGCCAGAUUGGUUGCCAGAGGAUAUAGCCAAACUUAUGGAAUUGACUAUGAUGAGACGUUUGCUCCCGUGGCAAAGAUGAACGCAGUAAGGAUAUUGGUCUCCUGUGCUGCAAACUUUGGGUGAAAGUUGCAUCAAUUAGAUGUCAAGAAUGCCUUCUUGCAUGGUGAGUUGCAGGAAGAAGUGUACAUGGAAAUACCACCAGGUUUUGGUACUUCAGAGACUACGGGGAAGGUAUGCGGGCUGAAGAAAUCCUUGUAUGGACUGAAGCAAUCACCAAGGACCUGGUUUGAUAGGUUCAGACGUGCUGUCCGUGGUAUGGGGUAUGGUCAGUGUAACGGUGACCACACGAUGUUCUACAAGCACUCUGAUCGGANNNNNNNNNNNNNNNNNNNNNNNNNNNNNNNNNNNNNNNNNAUCGGAAGAUCACCAUUCUUGCUGUUUAUGUGGAUGACAUUAUCAUCACUGGAGAUGAUGAGGAGGAAAUAGAGAGAUUGAAGGGUUGUUUGAGCAAGGAGUUUGAGGUAAAGGAUCUGGGUAACCUAAAAUACUUUCUUGGCAUUGAAGUGGCUUGGACAGAGAAGGGAAUCUCUUUGUGCCAACGAAAAUACACCUUGAAUCUCUUGAGUGACGUGGGCAUGAUGGGAUGUCGUACUACCCCUACUCCGAUUGAACAAAAUCACCAAGUGACAGCACAAUUAGGAGAGCUAGUGAAUAAGGAAGAGUAUCAGAAACUGGUUGGAAGGUUGUUGUACUUGUGUCAUACCAGGCCUGACAUUACGUAUGCUAGGGGGGUGGUGAGCAGAUACAUGCAUGAACCAAGGAGUGGGCAUCUUGAUAUUGUGCACAGAAUCCUGAGAUAUUUGAAGGGGACUCCGGGUAAAGGGUUGUGGUUUGGAAAGAGUGGACAUCUUGAGGUGGANNNNNGUAAAGGGUUGUGGUUUGAGAAGAGUGGACAUCUUGAGGUGGAUGGCUAUAGUGACUCUGACUAGGCCAGUUGUCAAGAUGAUAGAAGAUCAACUUCUGGCUACUGCGUGUUUGUGGGAGGAAAUUUGGUAUCAUGGAGAAGCAAGAAACAGCCGGUUGUGUCUAGAUCAACAGCAGAAGCUGAGUAUAGAGCAUUAUCUCAAGGGUUGUGUGAGAUGCUCUGGGUGAAGUACCUACUGAGCGAGUUGAAACUUCUGAGGAAGGGGCCCUUGAAGGUGUGGUGUGACAAUCAGUCAGCUAUAGCCAUCGCUAAUUACCCGGUUCAACAUGAUAGGACAAAGCAUGUGGAAAUUGAUCGGUUCUUCAUUAAGAAGAAGCUUGAUGCCGGGGUCAUCAGCCUUACUCAUGUCAGUUCUGGACAGCAGUUUGCAGAUUGUUUGACAAAGGGUUUGGGAACAAAGGAUUGUAAGUUGGCAUGUGACAAGAUGGGAAUGAUAGAUAUCUACCACCCAUCUUGAGGGGGAGUGUUGAACCGGUAUGGCCUAGCCCAUCCAGUUAUCUCUUAGGGCCCAGGCCCAUGUAGUGGGACUGACCUAAAAAGAGGCUCCCAGCCAUCCCGUUCCCAGUCUGAGCUGCCACACACAAACACACGAGCUGGAGGUACUCUCUUCCUCCCGUUUCUACAGUCUAAAAUCUCAUACCAAGGUAGGUGAGCUUGGUGGUUAUUAUAUUGGUGAAUAAGCAAUUUUUUAAUAAACUUGAGAAAUUUUGGAUUUAGGUAGGCGAUUGUGAUCUUGAUCCAAAUUUCAUGAUGGAUUAUGAGAUUUUAGAUGAAUAUAGUGAGUUGAUUUUCAUCUUGAGAAGAUACUCAAAGAUAUUCAAUGGAUAUCUACCACCCAUCUUGAGGGGGAGUGUUGAACCGAUAUGGCCUAGCCCAUCCAAUUAUCUCUUAGGGCCCAGGCCCAUGUAGUGGGACUGACCUAAAAAGAGGCUCCCAGCCAUCCCGUUCCCAGUCUGAGCUGCCACACACAAACACACGAGCUGGAGGUACUCCUCUCUUCCUCCCGUUUCUACAGUCUAAAAUCUCAUACCAAGGUAGGUGAGCUUGGUGGUUAUUAUAUUGGUGAAUAAGCAAUAUUUUAAUAAACUUGAGAAAUUUUGGAUUUAGGUAGGCGAUUGUGAUCUUGAUCCAAAUUUCAUGAUGGAUUAUGAGAUUUUAGAUGAAUAUAGUCAGUUGAUUUUCAUCUUGAGAAGAUACUCAAAGAUAUUCAAUGAAUUAAUUAAUCUUGAACAAUUUGAAUUUAGUUAGGUUUUUCCAAUAUUGAAUAGAAUUUCAUGAUGAUUUAUGUGGAUUUAGAUAACUUAUUAUGAUCUUGAGAAGAUGGUCAAAGAUGUUCGGUGGAUUUUAAGAUUUUAGGCCUAGUACAUGAGCAUGGUGACUAUUAUAUUGCACCCUCGAGAACCAAUUGAUGAUCGGGAUCGCAUGCAAUCGUUGUUCACGUAGUAGUACGAGUACGGACCGACGACGACCAACAGUAUCCAAAUUGACCACCACCAACAACUCUCUACUGAUGCUGAUUAAUCCAGAUACUACGUACUACUUUUUUCGAGAAAACGCAAAGAGCCUUGUGUUUCUUUGUAUUGAAGAGAAGGGGGAUUACAACCUCCUAAGAGGCAAUUACAACAUUGUUACAAGAGGAUUAGUGAACAUCCCAGGAUGGGGGCAUGACUACCCUAAGCCCUAUGGACCCGGCUCUCGCCCAACACCUAGUCUCAUCUUUGAUCCUAUCCAAGAGCUCGUCGAGCGAUGGAGUGAUAUGGUCAAAGACACACGCAUUCCUGUGUUUCCAUAUCAUCCAGGGCACCAGGAGCGCGGCUGACCUUAGCGCCUUGCGUAGCGAUGGUGGUGUGGCAUCCCUCGCCCUCAUCCACCAGUCCUGGAGUGAGGCAUCAUGCUCCGGCGACGGGGCCGUUAGGCGCAGCCAGGAUAGGGUCUCGUGCCAAGCCUGCCUCGCGAAAGGGCAAGUGAGCAGCAGGUGCCUGAUGGUCUCCGGCUCUUGAUCGCAUAGUAGGCAGCGGGUGUGAUGAGGAAGGCCUCGACGAGCGAGCCUUUCUGCGGUCCAGCAUCGGUCCAUGUUGGCAAGCCAGUGGAAGAACUUGACCUUCGGCGGAGCCCAUUCCUUCCAGAUGAGCUGCCAGGAACGGCAUGUCGACGAACCGUGGAAGGUGACCUGGUAGCAGGACCUCGCCGAGUAGACACCAUUGGUCGUCCAUUUCCAAACGAGCUUGUCCGGCUCGGUGGACAGUAUAGUGUGCGCCACAAGCUGCCAUGUCCUCAGGUAUUGGCCGAUCUCUUGCAGACCCACAACUCCGCGAAUGUCCCGGGCCCAGGCAUUGCCGGCGAUGCCCUCCGCCACCGUCCGCGCUCUUCGUUUGUUCUUGGGGUAUGCAUAGGUAUAGCAGAGGCGCGAGCUCACGUAUAGACUGACCGUGCAGCCAGCGAUCUUCCCAGAAUAGGGCAGUCAGGCCAUCUCCAACCAUCAUGGAGGUGGAGGCAUAGAAAAGGCCAAGCUCCUCAUGUGAGAACUGCAGGUCGAGGCCUUGCCAUGCACGGUCAGCGUCCGUCCUCGAUAGCCAAAGCUAUCGGAGUCUGAGUGCAAGCCCCGUGCGCUCGAGGUCUCGGAUGCCCAGCUCGUCAUACGCGAUCGGCCGGCAGACCGUGCGCCAGUUCACGUGGCAAUGCCCUCCAAGCGCAACCUCGUGGCCAGCCCAGAGGAAGCCGCGCUGGAUCUUCUCUAGUUGCUUUAGAGUUUUCUUCGGGGGCGCUAAAGCAAGAUACUACGUACUACUCACUAGCUUGUCCUGAGAAAAGAAAUGCUGCUUAAAUUGAUUGUUUUUUAAAAUCCCAUAAAUUGACAGUUAAAGUCCACUACAAUGCUUUAAGAUAUUCAUUUUAACAUGUUCUGGGUAUCCCACGUAGAUUCCAUGUUGAUUAAAUUUACCCAUUCUCUACGUACAAUUGGCAAUUCCUUGUUCACAUCUUUGUUAUACAAGCUCAUCAUGUUCUUGGAAGGGAAUUUCUUUUCAUUUUGGGUGCUUAACAUUUUGCAUGUUUGAUGGAUGUUUACUCCUUUGGUAUAAUAUGGUUACCUGAAUCUCCCGUACUAGACUACCAGUGGUGUAGAUUUUUGAUAUUGAGGUUCAGAAAAUUAACUUUGGUUAGCUAACUUAUGGAGGGUUGUUUUUGGAGGAAAAGAAGACAAAGAUCGACGGAUCACCGCAUACAGCCUGCUAGAUAGCACAGCUGGGACAAACCUGAUGAUGAACAUCACUAUUUUCCUGAGAAGGUUAUUCGUCAUUCGCUGCUUACUAUAUUGCAUAUGUGAUGUUGACACUUAAUAUUAUUAUUCAUGACAGAUGUGCUUGUCCAGGAUCCAGCGUGUUGAACCGAAAAAAGAUGGUACUAUAAUUGGCCAGUGACUAAGUUGUACCAUUCCUUGAACAAACUUAUAUUCGCUCGCGAUAAGAUGUCUAUGGCUCAUCUACAAGAUGGGAACAAAAGGAACAGCUUCAGCAUAGUAUGCUAUCUUAACUGCCACUGCACCUAUCAAGCAUAUAAACUAAUUUGAAGAAUGCAGGCCACUGAAAAAUUAAGCCUCUGUAACAUAGGGAGUCUCAGUGAUGAACCUUUGUGUGUUCUCGAUUUUUAUUUUGAGAGUGUUGUUUAUUUGAAAUGACAGUGGAGUUCUUGCUCCUCCCCAUUCCCAAACUCCUCAUGUAACUGUAUGCUACUCUCUGUAACUGCUUGAUGCUGUGAUAAUAUAUGUUCAGGCUGGCGUAAGCCUACCGUUGUGAUAACUGCUCUAUAUUAUUCUUAUUCAGUCAGAAACUGUAAUUAGGAGUCAUAAACUGUAGCUACUACACUGCUCACAUCGAUCUUCCUAUUUGGUUUCCUUGUGUAUAUUCAGUUUUGAUGUACAGAAACUACAGCGAACCAUAUUCAAUUUUGAUGUUCAGGUGCCUACUAAUUUCA
rnacentral:lncRNA from 1 species